rnacentral:rRNA from 1 species
AUACGGAGGGUGCAAGCGUUAUUGGGAAUCACUGGGCGUAAAGAGAGUGUAGGUGGUUUAUUAAGUCGGAUGUGAAAUCCCGGGGCUCAACCUCGGAACUGCAUUCGAUACUGAUAGGCUAGAGUUUGGGAGGGGUAAGCGGAAUUCCGUGUGUAGCAGUGAAAUGCGUAGAUAUACGGAGGAACACCUGAGGCGAAGGCGGCUUACUGGACCAAUACUGACACUGAGACUCGAAAGCGUGGGUAGCAAACAGGAUUAGAAACCCCAGUAGUCC